rnacentral:lncRNA from 1 species
ACUAGAAAUGUUGUGUAAAAAAAAGAAAUAGUUUGUUGGGCAAAUCUCCAAAAUAGCACCUUUCUAAGUUUAUAUCACAAAAAUAGCAUUCAAAAAUUAAAAUGACCAAAAUAGCAUUUUAUCUUUUGAAAAUUUUAAUUUUUUUAUUUUUCAAAAUUUGAAAUCUUAUCCCCAAAACCUCAUUUCUCAACUCUGAACCCUAAACUCUAAACCCUAAACUCUAAACCCUAAACCCUAAACUCUAAACCCUAAACCCUAAACUCUAAACCCUAAACCCUAAACCCUAAAUCCCAAACCCUACCCUUUAACUCAAAACCUUAAGUUUGUGACUUUUGAUAAAACAUUAAAUGCUAUUUUUGUGACUUUUGACCUUGAAUACUAGUUUGGAAACAAAAACUUGAUUUAGUGCUAUUUUUGUCUUUUUCUCUAGUUUGUUUUCAUUAAUUUCUCAUCAAAAUCGUUAUAAAAUGAUUUUAUAUUUUAUCUAUUUUUGAAAAAAAUAUUGUUGAGUUAAUGAAAUAAACCAUUUCUGAUGAUUUUAUUACGAUAAUCUAGUAUAUUUAACUGAAAUUCUAUUUCUUAUCAAGUUUUAAAUUAUUUAUACCAUUUUUAAUAAAUUAUUUAGUAAAACUUGAUACAAUCAAAAUUUAGAUAUUUGUUAAAUUUAAAAAAAAAUCUCUAAAUUAAAUUAAGGGCAAAUCUCUAAAAUAGCACAUUUCUAAGUUUAUAUCACAAAAAUAGCACUCAAAAACUAAAAUGACCAAAAUAGCACCUUUCUAAGUUUAUCCUUUGAAAAUUUUAAUUUUUUUAUUUUUCAAAAUUUGAAAUCUUAUCCCCAAAACCUCAUUUCUCAACUCUAAACCCUAAACCCUAAACUCUAAACCCUAAACCCUAAACCAUAAACCCUAAACCCUAAACUCUAAACCCUAAACCCUAAAUUAUAAACCUCACCCUUUAACUCUAAACUCUAAACCCUAAAUUUAUGACUUUUGAUAAAACAUUAAGUGUUAUUUUUGUGACUUUUGACCUUAAGUGUUAGUUUGAAAACAAAAACUUGAUAUAGUGCUAUUUUUG